rnacentral:rRNA from 1 species
CCUACGGGAGGCAGCAGUGGGGAAUAUUGGGCAAUGGGCGCAAGCCUGACCCAGCAACGCCGCGUGAAGGAUGAAGGUUUUCGGAUUGUAAACUUCUGUCGCGAGGGACGAAGAAUGACGGUACCUCGUAAGAAAGCCCCGGCUAACUACGUGCCAGCAGCCGCGGUAAUACGUAGGGGGCAAGCGUUGUCCGGAAUGACUGGGCGUAAAGGGAGUGUAGGCGGCUUAUCAAGUUAGAUGUGAAAUCCCGCGGCUUAACCGCGGAACUGCAUCUAAAACUGGUGAGCUGGAGUGCAGGAGAGGUGAGUGGAAUUCCUAGUGUAGCGGUGGAAUGCGUAGAUAUUAGGAGGAACACCAGAGGCGAAGGCGACUCACUGGACUGUAACUGACGCUGAGGCUCGAAAGCGUGGGGAGCAAACAGGAUUAGAUACCCUUGUAGUC